UUUAGUGAAGAAAGUAGAAGUUGUCGCGUGCUCUCCAUUUAUUUGUGAAAUUUACCGAUUAAUAUUGAAUGGAAAAUUAGGCGAAGAAGAAGUAAACGCCCAGAAAAGUUGAUGAAGAGAUACACGGACAACAGUGAGGGGAAUUAGAAGAUUUAUUGAGAAGAAAAAGGCAGGCAAGCCCAAUUUAGGAGGGAUAUUAUCUCGAACCAAAAUUACACGCUACGGCUUGGUCUGCCUGAAGCUUGCGAUUUGAUGAAAAUAUAUGAAUAAAAAGUUCUUGUUCAAUUGCGAACAGUUAUACUAUACAUAUAAAAAGGUGGUCAAGAUGGACCGACAUUAUCGGCUGAAGCUAUAAAAGCGGUUCAUGUUAUCUUAACCAUCCUAUAUAGGUAUACAUAUUGAGAUUAGCA